rnacentral:rRNA from 1 species
AGUGAACGCUGGCGGCGUGCCUAAUACAUGCAAGUCGAACGGAGUGGCGCACGGGUGAGUAAUGUAUAGCUAAUCUGCACUACACUAGAGGACAACAGUUGGCAACGGCUGCUAAUACUCUAUAGUGUAGGAUGAGGCUAUAUUGUAUCAGCUAGGUGGUGCGGUAAUGGCUCACCAAGGCUAUGACGCAUAACUGGUCUGGGAUGAUGAUCAGUCACACGGGAACGGAGACACGGUCAAGACUCCUACGGGAGGCAGCAGGAGGGAAUAUGGCACAAUGGGGGAAACCCUGAAGCAGCAACGGCGCGUGGAGGAUGACACUUUGCGGAGCGUAAAGUCCUUUUGUUAGGGAAGCGGUACCUAACGAAUAAGCACCGGCUAACUCCGUGCCAGCAGCCGCGGUAAUUC